GAUGAAGAACGUAGCGAAAUGCGAUAAGUAAUGUGAAUUGCAGAAUUCAGUGAAUCAUCGAAUCUUUGAACGCACCUUGCGCCCUUUGGCUAUUCCGAAGGGCAUGCCUGUUUGAGUAUCAUGAACACCUCAACUCUCAUGGUUUGCCAUGAUGAGCUUGGACUCUGGGGGUCUUGCUGGCCUAUGGUCAGCUCCUCUCAAAUAAAUCAGCUUGCCAGUGUUUGGUGGCAUCACAGGUGUGAUAACUAUCUACGCUUGUGGUUUUCCAUCAGGUAACCUUCAGUGAUGGAGGUUCGCUGGAGCUCAUAAAUGUCUCUCCUCGGUGAGGACAGCCCUUUGAACGUUUGAUCUCAAAUCAGGUAGGACUACCCGCUGAACUUAAGCAUAUCAAUAAGCGGAGGA
rnacentral:misc_RNA from 1 species